rnacentral:rRNA from 1 species
UACGUAGGGUGCGAGCGUUGUCCGGAAUUACUGGGCGUAAAGGGCUCGUAGGCGGCCAACUAAGUCAGACGUGAAAUCCCUCGGCUUAACCGGGGAACUGCGUCUGAUACUGGAUGGCUUGAGUUUGGGAGAGGGAUGCGGAAUUCCAGGUGUAGCGGUGAAAUGCGCAGAUAUCAGGAGGAACACCGGUGGCGAAGGCGGGUCUCUGGGCCGAUACUGACGCUGAGGAGCGAAAGCGUGGGGAGCGAACAGG